AAAGGAAUAGACGGGGGCCCGCACAAGCGGUGGAGCAUGUGGCUUAAUUCGAUGCAACGCGAAGAACCUUACCUGGGCUUGACAUGUAACUGCAAAUCCGGUGAAAGCCGGACUCCUUCGAGGGUGUUACACAGGUGCUGCAUGGCUGUCGUCAGCUCGUGCCGUGAGGUGUUAGGUUAAGUCCUGCAACGAGCGCAACCCCUGUGAUUAGUUGCUAGUCGCGCAAGCGAAGCACUCUAGUCAGACUGCCUGUGAUAAGCAGGAGGAAGGUGGGGAUGACGUCAAGUCAGUAUGGUCCUUAUGCCCAGGGCUGCACACGUGCUACAAUGUAGGGUACAGAGGGAUGCGAAUCCGCGAGGUGGAGCAAAUCCCAUAAAACCCUACUCAGUUCAGAUUGGAGUCUGCAACUCGACUCCAUGAAGCUGGAAUCGCUAGUAAUGGCGCAUCAGCUACGGCGCCGUGAAUACGUUCCCGGGCCUUGUACACACCGCCCGU
rnacentral:rRNA from 1 species